GCUGGCCAAGGAGCUGACGCGCAGCCUGGAGGACGUGCGGGGCGCCCUCCGUGACCAGGCGCUGCGGGACCUGAACACCUACACAGAGAAGAUGAGGGAAGCGCUGAGGCACUUCGACGUCCUGUUCGCGGAGUUUGAGCUCAGCUACGUCUCGGCCAUGGUGCCUGUGAAGUCCCCCAGGGAGUACUACGUGCAGCAGGAGGUCAUCGUGCUCUUCUGCGAGACGGUGGAGAGGU
rnacentral:lncRNA from 1 species